rnacentral:rRNA from 1 species
GUUCGGAUUGAAGGCUGAAAUUCGCCUUCAUGAAGUCGGAAUUGCUAGUAAUGGCAGGUCAGCAUACUGCCGUGAAUACGUUCCCGGGCCUUGUACACACCGCCCGUCACACCAUGGGAGUCGGUAACACCCGAAGUCGGUAGCCUAACCGUAAGGAGGGCGCCGCCGAAGGUGGGAUUGAUGACUGGGGUGAAGUCGUAACAAGGUAAC